rfam:Gossypium raimondii Chr02_contig_1160, whole genome shotgun sequence.
GAAAAAGCAGGGUCUUGUUGCCUUUUUUGAGUGAGGCUCUCGUAAACUUCAGGAAAAUUACUUGCAUUGUUAUUGGGUGAACCUCUGGAUAUUCUUGGUGACUGAAGGUUCUGUAAAUGAUGCCUCAUUU